UACGGAGGGUGCAAGCGUUAUCCGGAUUCACUGGGUUUAAAGGGUGCGUAGGAGGGCAGGUAAGUCAGUGGUGAAAUCCCCGAGCUUAACUUGGGAACUGCCGUUGAUACUAUCUGUCUUGAAUACCGUGGAGGUGAGCGGAAUAUGUCAUGUAGCGGUGAAAUGCGUAGAUAUCGAGAGGAACACCUGCGGCGAAGGCGGGUUGCUGGGCUGACACUGACGCUGAUGUGCGAAAGCUAGGGGAGCGAACGGG
rnacentral:rRNA from 1 species